GUGGGGAAUAUUGGACAAUGGGCGAAAGCCUGAUCCAGCCAUGCCGCGUGAGUGAUGAAGGCCUUAGGGUUGUAAAGCUCUUUUGUCCGGGAAGAUAAUGACUGUACCGGAAGAAUAAGCCCCGGCUAACUUCGUGCCAGCAGCCGCGGUAAUACGAAGGUGGCUAGCGUUGCUCGGAAUCACUGGGCGUAAAGGGCGCGUAGGCGGACUUUUAAGUCGGAGGUGAAAGCCCAGGGCUCAACCCUGGAAUUGCCUUCGAUACUGGGAGUCUUGAGUUCGGAAGAGGUUGGUGGAACUGCGAGUGUAGAGGUGAAAUUCGUAGAUAUUCGCAAGAACACCGGUGGCGAAGGCGGCCAACUGGUCCGAAACUGACGCUGAGGCGCGAAAGCGUGGGGAGCAAACAGGAUUAGAAACCCGAGUAGUCC
rnacentral:rRNA from 1 species